GAUGAAGAACGCAGCGAAAUGCGAUACGUAAUGUGAAUUGCAGAAUUCAGUGAAUCAUCGAAUCUUUGAACGCAUAUUGCGCUCUUUGGUAUUCCGAAGAGCAUGCUUGUUUGAGUAUCAGUAAACACCUCAACCUCUUCUUGAUUUUUCAAAAGGAGGGUGGACUUGAGCUAUCCCAACAACCUUUACCGGUCGGCGGGCGGCUUGAAAUGCAGGUGCAGCUGGACUUUUAUCUGAGCUAAAAGCAUAUCUAUUUAGUCCUCGUCAAACAGGAUUAUUACUUUUGCUGCAGCUAACAUAAAGGAUAAUUGUCCUCUUUGCUGACUGAUGCAGGAUUUUACGACACUUUAUGUGUUGUUCAACUCGAUCUCAAAUCAAGUAAGACUACCCGCUGAACUUAAGCAUAUCAUAAGCGGAGGA
rnacentral:misc_RNA from 1 species